rnacentral:rRNA from 1 species
CCUACGGGAGGCAGCAGUGGGGAAUUCUGGACAAUGGGCGAAAGCCUGAUCCAGCCAUGCCGCGUGAGUGAAGAAGGCCUUCGGGUUGUAAAGCUCUUUUAGUCGGAAAGAAAGAGUUGCAAUGAAUAAUUGUGAUUUAUGACGGUACCGACAGAAAAAGCACCGGCUAACUACGUGCCAGCAGCCGCGGUAAUACGUAGGGUGCGAGCGUUAAUCGGAAUUACUGGGCGUAAAGGGUGCGCAGGCGGUCUUGCAAGUCAGAUGUGAAAGCCCCGGGCUUAACCUGGGAAUUGCGUUUGAAACUACAAGGCUAGAGUGCAGCAGAGGGGAGUGGAAUUCCAUGUGUAGCAGUGAAAUGCGUAGAGAUGUGGAAGAACACCGAUGGCGAAGGCAGCUCCCUGGGUUGGCACUGACGCUCAUGCACGAAAGCGUGGGGAGCAAACAGGAUUAGAUACCCUGGUAGUCCACGCCCUAAACGAUGUCAACUAGUUGCCGGAUCUAAUUAAGGAUUUGGUAACGUAGCUAACGCGUGAAGUUGACCGCCUGGGGAGUACGGUCGCAAGAUUAAAACUCAAAGGAA